UCUCCGUUGGUGAACCAGCGGAGGGAUCAUUACCGAGUUACUAUACUCCCAAACCCCUGUGAACUCAUCCUUUAACUUUGGCUCCGGCGGGUUCGCGCCCCCGCCCUCCCCCGCCCGCGGGCCCAACCAGGCCCCCGCAAGGGCUCGCAAUCUCUUAUAUCUUUUUUAUCUCAUGUAUGGGUUGAAUCAUAAACUACUAAAACAAAACUCUCAACUCCGGAUCCCUUGGAUAUCGCAUCAAUGAAGAACGCCGCAGAUCUGAAGUGCACACACUCGAAC
rnacentral:misc_RNA from 1 species